rnacentral:rRNA from 1 species
GACGAACGCUGGCGGCGUGCUUAACACAUGCAAGUCGUACGGUAAGGCCCUUUCGGGGGUACACGAGUGGCGAACGGGUGAGUAACACGUGAGUAACCUGCCCACAACUUUGGGAUAACGCUAGGAAACUGGUGCUAAUACUGGAUAUGUGCUCCUGCUGCAUGGUGGGGGUUGGAAAGCUCCGGCGGUUGUGGAUGGACUCGCGGCCUAUCAGCUUGUUGGUGGGGUAGUGGCCUACCAAGGCGGCGACGGGUAGCCGGCCUGAGAGGGUGACCGGCCACAUUGGGAAUGAGAUACGGCCCAGACUCCGACGGGAGGCAGCAGUGGGGAAUGUUGCACAAUGGGCGCAAGCCUGAUGCAGCAACGCCGCGGGCGGGAUGACGGCCUUCGGGUUGGAAGCCGCUUUCAGCAGGGACGAAGCUUUGUGUGACGGUACCUGCAGAAGAAGCACCGGCUAACUACGUG